CACGUAGGGUGCAAGCGUUAAUCGGAAUUACUGGGCGUAAAGCGUGCGCAGGCGGCUUUGCAAGACAGAUGUGAAAUCCCCGGGCUUAACCUGGGAACUGCAUUUGUGACUGCAAGGCUAGAGUACGGUAGAGGGGGAUGGAAUUCCGCGUGUAGCAGUGAAAUGCGUAGAUAUGCGGAGGAACACCGAUGGCGAAGGCAAUCCCCUGGACCUGUACUGACGCUCAUGCACGAAAGCGUGGGGAGCAAACAGG
rnacentral:rRNA from 1 species